GACGAACGCUGGCGGCGUGCUUAACACAUGCAAGUCGAACGGUGAAGCGCCCUCUUUUUUGGUGGGUGUGGAUGAGUGGCGAACGGGUGAGUAACACGUGCGUAACCUGCCCCCUCCUUCUGGAUAACCGCAUGAAAGUGUGGCUAAUACGUGAUAUUCUGGGUCUGUCGCAUGAUGGGUCUGUGAAAGACAUUGUUUCGGUGGGUGAUGGGCGCGCGGCCUCUCAGCUUGUUGGUGGGGUGAUGGCCUACCAAGGCGGUGACGGGUGGCCGGCCUGAGAGGGGGGACGGCCACAAUGGGACUGAGACGCGGCCGAGAAUCCUACGAGGGGCAGCAGUGGGGAAUAUUGCAAAAUGGGGGGAGGACUGAUGCAGCGGCGACGCGUGAGGGAUGAUGGCCGUCGGGUUGUGAACCUCUUUCGCCAGUGAAGCAGGACUGCCUCGUUUGUGGGUGGGUUGACGGUAGCUGGAGAAGAAGCGCCGGCUAACUACGUG
rnacentral:rRNA from 1 species